rnacentral:rRNA from 1 species
GCUCAGAUUGAACGCUGGCGGCAGGCCUAACACAUGCAAGUCGAGCGGUAGCACAAGAGAGCUUGCUCUCUGGGUGACGAGCGGCGGACGGGUGAGUAAUGUCUGGGAAACUGCCUGAUGGCGGGGGAUAACUAGUGGAAACGGUAGCUAAUACCGCAUAACGUCGCAAGACCAAAGUGGGGGCCCUUCGGGCCUCACGCCAUCAGAUGUGCCCAGGUGGGAUUAGCUGGUAGGUGAGGUAACGGCUCACCUAGGCGACGAUCCCUAGCUGGUCUGAGAGGAUGACCAGCCACACUGGAACUGAGACACGGUCCAGACUCCUACGGGAGGCAGCAGUGGGGAAUAUUGCACAAUGGGCGCAAGCCUGAUGCAGCCAUGCCGCGUGUGUGAAGAAGGCCUUCGGGUUGUAAAGCACUUUCAGCGAGGAGGAAGGGUAAUGUGUUAAUAAGACAUUG